rnacentral:lncRNA from 1 species
AUCCUUUUCCCAUUCCUCCCUGCCCCUACUCUCCUCGGUCCCUGGUAACCACCAUUCUAUUCUCAACAUCUAGGAGAUUAACUUUUUUAGAUGCCAUGAAUGAGAUCAUGCAGUACUUAUCUUUAUGUGCCUGGCUUACUUCACUUAACCUAAUACUCUCUAAUUCUAUCUAUAUUGCUGCAAAUGAUUGGAUUUCAUUCUUUUUAUUGCUGAAUAGUAUUCUGUCAUGUGUAUGUACCACAUUUUCUUUAAUCCGUUCAUUUUCCUUCCUUCCUUCUACCCUUCCUUCCUUCCCUCUCUCUCCCUCCCUCCCUCCAUCCUUCCUUCCUUCCUUCCUUCCUUCCUUCCUUCCUUCCUUCCUUCCAGUUGAACCCAAGGGCACUUAACCACUGAGCCACAUCUCCAGCCUUUUUUAUUUUUCAUUUUGAGACAGGAUCUCCCUAAGAUGCUGAGGCUGGCUUUGAACUUGUGAUCGUCCUGCUUCAGCCUCCCAAGAUUUUGGGACUGCAGACAUGCACCACCAUGCCUGGUUUCUGUUCAUUAUGUGAUGGACACUUAGGUACUUUGCAUUUCUUGGCAACUGUGAAUCAAAUACUGCAAUGAACAGGAGAGUACAGAUAUCUCUUUGACAAACUGAUUUCACUUUAUUUGGGUUUAAAUCCAGUGGCAGCAUUGCUAGAUCACAUAGGAGUUCUAUUUUAAAUUGUUUGAAUAACCUCUAUAACUGUGUUCUCUAAUGGCUGGUUUAGGGCUAUUUCUUUUCAUUCUUAACAUACAUGUAAAGGAGGCAUUAUUGUAAAUUUGCAGAUGGUUUCCUAAAUUUCCCACCAGUUCACACUGAGUUAUACAAAACUGAGUUUUAUGACCACAGAGUUAUAUGACACUGGACAUGACUUCAGAAGAAAGGCCAUUUUUGUCUUAGACUUGCUCUAGUGUUUAGCAUACUGUAAACUAGGAAUGCCAAGUUUUCUUGAGUUGUUGAUGACCCUGUGAAAAUUUGAACAAACUGGAUGGGGCUCAAAGAAUUUUCCCAAGACAGUUACAACUAAUUCUGCCUUUAAUAUUAAUGGAAUGUAG